rnacentral:rRNA from 1 species
CAGCAGUGAGGAAUAUUGGACAUUGGCGCAAGCCUGAUCCAGCCAUGCCGCAUGCAGGAUGACGGUCCUAUGGAUUGUAAACUGCUGUUAUACAGCAAGAAACCAUACCACGUGUGGUAGAUGGACGGUAGUGUAGGAAUAAGGAUCGGCUAACUCCAUGCCAGCAGCCGCGGUAAUACGAAGGAUCCAAGCGUUAUCCGGAAUCAUUGGGUUUAAAGGGUCCGUAGGCGGUUUAAUAAGUCAGUGGUGAGAGCCCAUCGCUUAACGAUGGAACGGCCAUUGAUACUGUUAGACUUGAAUUAUAAGGAAGUAACUAGAAUAUGUAGUGUAGCGGUGAAAUGCUUAGAUGUACAUGGAAUACCAAUUGCGAAGGCAGGUUACUACUAAUAAUUGACGCUGAUGGACGAAAGCGUGGGGAGCGAACAGGAUUAUGAUACCCUGGUAGUCCACGCCGUAAACGAUGGAUACUAGCUGUUGGGAGCAAGCUCAGUGGCUAAGCGAAAGUGAUAAGUAUCCCACCUGGAGU